rnacentral:rRNA from 1 species
AAAAGGUGUGGAUACCUGGAACAACGGCGAGUGAAGCGGUAAAAGCUCAAAUUUGAAAUCUGGUACUUUCAGUGCCCGAGUUGUAAUUUGUAGAAUUUGUCUUUGAUUAGGUCCUUGUCUAUGUUCCUUGGAACAGGACGUCAUAGAGGGUGAGAAUCCCGUUUGGCGAGGAUACCUUUUCUCUGUAAGACUUUUUCGAAGAGUCGAGUUGUUUGGGAAUGCAGCUCAAAGUGGGUGGUAAAUUCCAUCUAAAGCUAAAUAUUGGCGAGAGACCGAUAGCGAACAAGUACAGUGAUGGAAAGAUGAAAAGAACUUUGAAAAGAGAGUGAAAAAGUACGUGAAAUUGUUGAAAGGGAAGGGCAUUUGAUCAGACAUGGUGUUUUUUGCAUGCACUCGCCUCUCGUGGGCUUGGGCCUCUCAAAAAUUUCACUGGGCCAACAUCAAUUCUGGCAGUAGGAUAAAUCAUUAAGAAUGUAGCUACCUCGGUAGUGUUAUAGCUUAUUGGAAUACUGCUAGCUGGGAUUGAGGACUGCGCUUCGGCAAGGAUGUUGGCAUAAUGGUUAAAUGCCGCCCGCUAAAAAACGGGAGAAAAAAAG